UACGUAGGGGGCAAGCGUUGUCCGGAUUUAUUGGGCGUAAAGAGCGUGUAGGCGGCCUGAAAGGUCAGCUGUGAAAACUCGAGGCUCAACCUCGAGACGUCGGUUGAAACCAUCUGGCUAGAGUCCGGAAGAGGAGUGUGGAAUUCCCGGUGUAGCGGUGAAAUGCGCAGAUAUCGGGAAGAACACCCGUGGCGAAGGCGGCACUCUGGGACGGUACUGACGCUGAUGCGCGAAAGCGUGGGGAGCAAACGGG
rnacentral:rRNA from 1 species